UACGUAGGGGGCAAGCGUUGUCCGGAUUUAUUGGGCGUAAAGAGCGUGUAGGCGGCCAGUUAGGUCCGUUGUGAAAACUCGAGGCUCAACCUCGAGACGCCGAUGGAAACCAAUUGGCUAGAGUCCGGAAGAGGAGAGUGGAAUUCCCGGUGUAGCGGUGAAAUGCGCAGAUAUCGGGAAGAACACCCGUGGCUAAGGCGGCUCUCUAGUACGGUACUGACGCUGAUGCGCGAAAGCGUGGGGAGCAAACGGG
rnacentral:rRNA from 1 species